rnacentral:rRNA from 3 species
UAAACGACUCUCGGCAACGGAUAUCUAGGCUCUUGCAUCGAUGAAGAACGUAGCGAAAUGCGAUACUUGGUGUGAAUUGCAGAAUCCCGUGAACCAUCGAGUUUUUGAACGCAAGUUGCGCCCAAAGCCAUUAGGUUGAGGGCACGUCUGCCUGGGCGUCACAU